UCCUAGUUUCCUAGGCAGUCCCAUCAGAGUGCUUCCAUAAGAAUAGCAACUGACGGCAAGAGUUGCGCUCGUUAAAGGACUUAACCCAACAUCUCACGACACGAGCUGACGACAGCCAUGCAGCACCUGUGUAUCUGUCUAGAGUUACCCCUAAAAAAUUCUAUUUCUAGAACGGUCAAAUACAUGUCAAGCCUAGGUAAGGUUCCUCGCGUAGUGUCGAAUUAAACCACAUGUUCCACCGCUUGUGCGGACCCCCGUCAAUUUCUUUGAGUUUUAAUCUUGCGACCGUACUCCCCAGGCGGAUCACUUAACGCGUUAGCUACGACACCAAAUCCGCAACGCGGAUCUGACGUCUAGUGAUCAUCGUUUACAGCGUGGACUAC
rnacentral:misc_RNA from 1 species